rnacentral:rRNA from 1 species
AGGUUAACCGUAUAGGGGAGCCGCAGGGAAACCGAGUCUUAACUGGGCGUUAAGUUGCAGGGUAUAGACCCGAAACCCGGUGAUCUAGCCAUGGGCAGGUUGAAGGUUGGGUAACACUAACUGGAGGACCGAACCGACUAAUGUUGAAAAAUUAGCGGAUGACUUGUGGCUGGGGGUGAAAGGCCAAUCAAACCGGGAGAUAGCUGGUUCUCCCCGAAAGCUAUUUAGGUAGCGCCUCGUGAAUUCAUCUUCGGGGGUAGAGCACUGUUUCGGCUAGGGGGUCAUCCCGACUUACCAACCCGAUGCGAACUACGAAUACCGAAGAAUGUUAUCCCGGGAGACACACGGCGGGUGCUAACGUCCGUCGUGAAGAGGGAAACAACCCAGACCGCCAGCUAAGGUCCCAAAGUCAUGGUUAAGUGGGAAACGAUGUGGGAAGGCACAGACAGCCAGGAUGUUGGCUUAGAAGCAGCCAUCAUUUAAAGAAAGCGUAAUAGCUCACUGGUCGAGUCGGCCUGCGCGGAAGAUGUAACGGGGCUAAACCAUGCACCGAAGCUGCGGCAGCGAC